ACUAUGGCUUAAUGUGGUUGUAACUUUCUCACUUUAUCCAAAAACACAUACGUGUGUAAAUUGAGAGUUCCAGAGAGGCAGAGAGAGAACGGAGAGGUAGGGUAGGGCUGCCAGCAACCGACGUCUGCGGUGGAGGAGCUACGGUAGUUGUGGCGACGCCUCUUCCUUUUUACUCAUUUUACCCUAAACUCAUAAACACACAUUUAGAGAGAGAAAGACAGAAUGAGAGAGAACGACGUGAGAGAGAAAUCGAUGAAAGGAAGAGGAAGCCGAUCACCCCAAUCGGAUGAAGGUGAUGAUGGCGACGAAUCCGACAACCAGAUUGGCAUCGAUGCACUAGGGUUCCAGUUUGGGAUUUUUGAAACCAGAUAGUGAAGGUGUUGAGGACGUCUGCAAUCUGGUUGUCCAGUUUGGGGGUUUUGAAACACACAGCCGGAAUUAACAGUUCAUGACUCAGCCGUAGGUCACCGCCAUCGCAGACCGUUCCACCGUUUCGAGUCCGCUGCUGUAUCCCAAGAUCCAACGAUGGUUUGAGCUCGAUUUCAAAGUCUCUAAUGAUCCGAAGAUCGUGCUUCAGAGUAUAUUGGGGAGAAGAGGAAGGGGCUGGAUGUUUUGAAAGAGGGAUUUGAUGAUGAAGAGAAGCUUUCAAGAAAUGUGUUUGUUGGGAAUCUGCCUUUGAAGGUGAAGAAGAAGGCAUUGUUGAAAGAGUUUAGUCAGUUUUGAGAGAUAGAAUCCGUUCGAAUUCGAUCUAUUCCUUUAUUAGAUGAUAAAACUCCAAGAAAGGGUGUUGUGAUCAAGAAGAAAAUGAAUGAUGCUGUUGACAGGGUUAAUUCAUACAUUGUUUUCAAGACCAAAGAUUCUGCCCAAGCUUCUUUGUCACAUAACAAUAUAACAUGGCAGUUUUGGGUGGAAAUCAUAUUCUUGUAGGCAGAGCUUGUCCGCCUCACAAGAAACUUAAGGGAGAAAACGCUCUCGGAUUACCUUAUGUUGGAGAAGCAAUAACGCCAGUUGGCAACUAGCUUAUUGGUCGAGAUCCAAAAGUAUAAUAAGGCCCUACCACCAACCCUUCGGGGAUUGCAUCAAAUGUGACAGGGGCAGUAGCACAGGACCAGAGUUAUUAAGCGAGUACCCGCCGCAUCGCGGCGGGUUACUUUUCUAGUUUUAGUCUAUUUGGGGUCAUUUUGCCAGUUUAUUUCAAAGGCUUGAAAUGUUGUCAUUUUAGUUCAAAUAGUUUUAAGCGUUACCAUUUUAGUCUACUGGGUUAACUCUGUCCAUUUUUUAUGUUAGCUAGAAGGGUAAUUCGAUCAUUUUAUAUGGUCGAAUUGCCCUUCUAGUUAAUAGAAUUACAUAUAAAAUGACCGAAAUGCCAUUCUAGUUAACAGAAUAAAGGGAUGAAGGUAACCCAGUAGACUAAAAUGACAACGUUUAAAACUAUUUGGACUAAAAUAGCAACGUUUUAAUCCUUUGGACUAAACUGGCAAAAAGACCCAAACCACAUGGACUAAAUUGACAUUUAACUAUUUUUUAUGAUCGCUGAGUGGUGGCUUCUGCCUACGCACGAGAAGAAAAUAGAGGUUGAAUAUAUUGGGUUUACGUAACAGUGAAGACAAGAGAAAUUUCAGAAAUUGUUAAUUACUCGUUAGUGUUACCUCUUACUCGUUUACUUGUUUUGUUUUUGUUCCAUAUGCUUGAAGUGAUCUGUGCCAAGUAUAUGACGAUUUUGUAUGCCUCUAGUUUUAUCUAGAGAAUGCUUUGUAUUACUCUAUUAUUGGUGAUAGUGCUUUGUAUUACUCUA